GCUAAGGAUAAUUGUACCCUUGGCUUUGGGUGUUUUCCAAAAAAAAUUUGGAGAUGGCCGACUCGUCAACUUCUUCAAUGUCUUUCUCAUCUCAAACAAAUCAAAACCCUAAUCCCUCACCCACCAGUCCAUCACCGCCCUCAUGUCUCCCACCACUAUCGUUCGCCGCCAACCCACACCAGCGGAGAAACCGUGACAACUAGAUGAACGGUUGCAUUGGAGCAGACGCAACGACAACUUUUAGGGUUCAUGUGCUCAUCUCCUCGCCGGGAUUCGGUGCAUUUUUGGUCCAGCUUUUCUAAUUAGGCAUAUUUAUGUUACGAGAGGGUAGUUGUAGUUUUGAUGUUGAUGGCUUCCAUCCUCUCAACAUUGGCAAACUUGCUAUGAAAGGCAAAGACACACUCUUUCUUCCCUACACCCCAGAGGUAACAUAUGCCUUUUUAUAACUUAAUUACAUAUGUUAAGAUAUUUCUGGGUUUAGUGUUUUGGGGUUCUUAGAACCCACCCUAUAUGGAUGCCCAAAACCGAUCUGCCAUUGACGUCAAGGUAUGAUUUGCAAUCCUUUCGCUUUCUUAUUUCUUGGUUUUGACAGAUUAUGGAUUAUAUGAGAGUCAUCCUUUAACAUUGUAUUUUUUUUUUCGUGUAGCAAAGCUGCCAAGUAGCGUGCGUGUGCAAAAGAAAGAUUAGAUAUUUACAUAACAUUAAAAGAUCUUUAUAUGUUGAAUCUUAAAUGUUCAUAUCGCGGGGAUUUGUUAUUGUGAAAGAACUUGAGCAACUUGAGCGCCAACUUGAAUUUACUUUGAGUCAAAUUUGGUGCAUAAGGGUAUGUUUAGUGUGUUUCUACUAGCUAUAUAAUCUGAGGAGGUGUUUGAAUGAUUCAUCUCGGAUAUGGAUGGCGGGGAUUUGAUUGGAGUAUCGGCGAUAGUUCAGUCAAACUCCGCAGAAGUAGAACAGAAUGAACAGACAAUAAUGAAUAGACAAUGGUUGGAUGAAAAUGGGUUUGAAUCGCGAGUAAAAGGAAGGGGCUUUUUGAUUCGCGGGUGGGCAACACAAGUUCUGAUCCUAUCGCACCGAGCCGCAGGUAUUAAAGUGUACAAGAUGCAGCUUUUAGAGGGCUUGAAGGAUGUUAGAGGCUGGCGUGAUCAAGAUGUGUGAAAACAAAGGAAAAUGAAGGAACUAGGAGCAAAAGAUCACUCAGAGCCGUAAGCUACGCCACCAGGCCGUAGCUUACGGCACCUAUAGCAUGCCAAAAAUUAGUGCCGUAAGACAGGAGCACAGGACCGUAAAGAACAUUGAUCGCCGUAAGCUACGGCGGUGAGCCGUAGCAUACGGCACUGCUUGAACCCCGGAAAUUCACUGAUCACCGUAAGCUACGGCAGGGGGCCGUAGCUUACGGCGCCGAUUGAACCAAAGUCGUAACCGAUGCAUUUAUGAGCAUUUUGAAGACAUAUUAUGAUUACUAAUCAUGUGUGGUCGGUUACUACUUGAGAAAAACGAGUGGGGGACUAUUUGAAGGCACUUGGGGAGCUAGGAAACAUAUCUUUGCAUAAUCUUUUCACUAGAAUCAUUGGGGAACAAUCUUUGCAUUAUAUUCUUGUCUUUGUUGGUGGAACUUGUGAACUUUGGUUUUAUUUCUAUUUUGUCAUGAUGUGUGUUAAAGCCAUGAGUGGCUAGGUACUUUAAUGACUAUCUUGUGGUGAAGGUUUGUUUAGACUUUUGUGUUCUUAUUUGCAUUUCUAGAAUAUCAA